rnacentral:rRNA from 1 species
AGAGUUUGAUCCUGGCUCAGGAUGAACGCUAGCGACAGGCCUAACACAUGCAAGUCGAGGGGCAUCGGGACGUAGCAAUACGUUGCCGGCGACCGGCGGAUGGGUGAGUAACGCGUAUGCAACCUACCCGUAGCAGGGGGAUAGCCCGUUGAAAGACGGAUUAAUACCCCGUAACACAGGGGCUCCGCAUGGAGAUUAUUGUUAAAGGGUCAUUUCUUUUUCAGGGAUGGUCCGGCUGCGGAUGGGCAUGCGUUCCAUUAGGUAGUUGGUGUAGGUAACUGCUCACCAAGCCGACGAUGGAUAGGGGAACUGAGAGGUUGGUCCCCCACACUGGUACUGAGACACGGACCAGACUCCUACGGGAGGCAGCAGUGAGGAAUUUUGGUCAAUGGACGCAAGUCUGAACCAGCCAUGUCGCGUGAAGGAGGACGGCCCUAAGGGUUGUAAACUUCUUUUGCAGUGGAAUAAAGUUUGCCACGUGUUGGCGAUUUGCAAGUACGCUGCGAAUAAGGAUCGGCUAACUCCGUGCCAGCAGCCGCGGUAAUACGGAGGAUCCAGGCGUUAUCCGGAUUUAUUGGGUUUAAAGGGUGCGCAGGCGGGGAAUUAGGUCGGCGGUGAAAUUUCGGGGCUCAACCUCGACAGUGCCGUUGAAACCGUUUCUCUUGAGUGCGGAUGAGGUAGGCGGAAUUUGUGGUGUAGCGGUGAAAUGCGUAGAUAUCACAAGGAACACCGAUUGCGGAGGCAGCUUACUAAACCGUUACUGACGCUCAUGCACGAAGGCGUGGGGAUCAAACAGGAUUAGAUACCCUGGUAGUCCACGCAGUAAACGAUGAUUACUUGCUGUUUGCGAUACACAGUAAGCGGCGUAGCGAAAGCGUUAAGUAAUCCACCUGGGGAGUACGUUCGCAAGAAUGAAACUCAAAGGAAUUGACGGGGGCUCGCACAAGCGGAGGAACAUGUGGUUUAAUUCGAUGAUACGCGAGGAACCUUACCCGGGCUUGAAAUGCAUUCGA